rnacentral:rRNA from 1 species
CCCUAGUACUUAUUAAUAUGAUGGGAAUUAGUAUUAGUGAAAUUUAAUAAUUUUGGCGGUUAGUUGUUGUUUAGAGGAGCUUGUUUUGUAGAAAUAGCUCUUUAUAUUUUGUUAAUAAAAGAUUUAUUCAUCUCCGUUCUUAGAUUAUAAAUUAUGAAAGUUUAUACUAGUAUUUCAGGUCAAGAUGUAGUUUUUAUUAAAAUAGAAUUAGCUACAAUUAUUAAAAUAAUGGAUUUAUUGGAGGUAGCUUAUUAGGAAAUUGAAUUUAGUUGUAAUUUUAACUAGAAAGUUAUUAUGAAAUUUGUUAAUUAGUGUA